rnacentral:rRNA from 1 species
CGCAAGACCUCGCGCGAUUGGAGCGGCCGAUAUCAGAUUAGGUAGUUGGUGAGGUAAAGGCUCACCAAGCCGACGAUCUGUAGCUGGUCUGAGAGGACGACCAGCCACACUGGGACUGAGACACGGCCCAGACUCCUACGGGAGGCAGCAGUGGGGAAUUUUGGACAAUGGGCGCAAGCCUGAUCCAGCCAUGCCGCGUGCGGGAAGAAGGCCUUCGGGUUGUAAACCGCUUUUGUCAGGGAAGAAAAGGUUCUGGCUAAUACCUGGGACUCAUGACGGUACCUAAAGAAUAAGCACCGGCUAACUACGUGCCAGCAGCCGCGGUAAUACGUAGGGUGCAAGCGUUAAUCGGAAUUACUGGGCGUAAAGCGUGCGCAGGCGGUUAUGCAAGACAGAGGUGAAAUCCCCGGGCUCAACCUGGGAACUGCCUUUGUGACUGCAUGGCUAGAGUACGGUAGAGGGGGAUGGAAUUCCGCGUGUAGCAGUGAAAUGCGUAGAUAUGCGGAGGAACACCGAUGGCGAAGGCAAUCCCCUGGACCUGUACUGACGCUCAUGCACGA